rnacentral:rRNA from 1 species
UACGAAGGGGGCUAGCGUUGUUCGGAAUUACUGGGCGUAAAGGGCGCGUAGGCGGUUUAACAAGUUGGGUGUGAAAGCCCAGGGCUCAACCCUGGAACUGCACUCAAGACUGUUUUACUUGAAUUCGGUAGAGGUUGGUGGAAUUCCCAGUGUAGAGGUGAAAUUCGUAGAGAUUGGGAAGAACACCCGUGGCGAAGGCGGCCAACUGGACCGACAUUGACGCUGAGGCGCGAAAGCGUGGGGAGCAAACAGG